UUCCGGGGCCCCGCCCCCGAGGCAGGCCCCACCCACUCCCUCCGGCAACCCCAGUCUAGGCCGCAGUCAACUCUAGUCCGGUUCAGAUUCCUCGGACCCCGCCAUGCCCCGCGGAAGCCGCAGCAGCGCCGCGCCCGCCCCGUCGGCCAGGCGCCCCAGGCCCCCCUGUCAGCCCCUUCGAGACCCUGCUACUACGAGAUCAAGCAGUUCCUGGACUGCUCAACCACCCAGAAUGACCUGACCCUGUGUGAGGGCUUCAGUGAGGCUCUGAAGCAGUGUCAGCGCAGCCACGGUCUGACCACUCUGAUGUGAAGCUGAGCCCCCCACGCAAGACCAGCCGAGCGGUGGGAGCCGUCCCCUUUGCAAGUGCCGUGGGUGAGGGCACGGGAGAACAGGCCCCGGAACAAUAAAACGCGGCUCCCUGUCCUCCUCUGUGCUCCUGCGCCACCCUCACCCUCUGGGCUGACCUGCUCUUUCAGAGCCCACACUGGGGGGGGGGGCACGCACUCAGUCCAGGGCAUCUGCUGCCCACCCAUCAGCGGCCAUCCUCGGAAAGCAUGAGCUGCUGCUUGGGGGCCUCUGGGGAGCUGGCAACGGCUGGCCCAGCUUCCCCGACGGGCCCUUCGGGUCCCCCUCACGGUCCCCCCAGCCAUCUCUGCCCUUCCUGUGCACCCCCUUUGGGGCUCCCCGGCAGAGCAGGGUGGCCUGGGGAGGCAUCUGGGCUCUGGGUCC
rnacentral:lncRNA from 1 species